UGGGGAAUAUUGCACAAUGGGCGAAAGCCUGAUGCAGCAACGCCGCGUGAGUGAUGAAGGCCUUCGGGUUGUAAAGCUCUGUCUUUGGGGACGAUAAUGACGGUACCCAAGGAGGAAGCCACGGCUAACUACGUGCCAGCAGCCGCGGUAAUACGUAGGUGGCAAGCGUUGUCCGGAUUUACUGGGCGUAAAGGAUGCGUAGGCGGAUAUUUAAGUGAGAUGUGAAAUUCCCGGGCUUAACUUGGGAGCUGCAUUUCAAACUGGAUAUCUAGAGUGUGGGAGAGGAGAAUGGAAUUCCUAGUGUAGCGGUGAAAUGCGUAGAGAUUAGGAAGAACACCAGUGGCGAAGGCGAUUCUCUGGACCAUAACUGACGCUGAGGCAUGAAAGCGUGGGUAGCAAACA
rnacentral:rRNA from 1 species